UUUUCUUCCCAAAUCCCAAAUUGACUAAAACGAAAGAGAUACAGAGCUAAGCAAACAUGGUUUCUUAACCCUAAACCACCGUUCACUUUGCCGUCAAAGAAUAAUCCUCCGCCUUCUCCAUCCGUCGUUCAUUCCGCCAUCGAAGAACAAUCCUCCGUCAAGAACGUCAAUCUCUUUGCCGUUAUUCGUCGUUCUCGCGGUUCCAAGAUACUCGAAUUCAACAAUACAAAUUUCUUCGACUCCAAAUCAUAUCCACUUUGCUGAAGAAAUGUGUAGAGACUUGCGUGGAUGGUGUGCGGCAAUCACCAUAAAACCAAGGGGUCAUGUGGAGAUGGACAACGUUGAUGAUGAAAUUCCUUAUCAAUCUAAUGAAAUGUUACCAAUUGUUCCUAUUACAGAAAUUGAACAAAUACGGGGUUUUGCCGAUGGAACAAUAAUUGAUGAUGCUAAUUAGCUUAAGUCACUAGUUUAGAAAUUAUGAUGUUUUAGCUUAUAAGAUCCUAAAUUGUAUGUUAUUUUCUGCGUAACAGACUACAAAUGAAUGUUUUUUUUGGUUGUAUUGAUGUUGUAUAUGAAUUUGGUUUCUUACUUAAUAUGUUAUAUUUUUGUUAAACUAAUGUAAGUUAUAUUAUUUGUUUUCUAGCUUUUUAAUGACAGGACGAGGCCGUGAAGCUCAUGGGAAAAAGCCGAUUAACAAGAACUGCUUGCAAAAGGCAGGCCGUGGCACUCAAGGAAAGCCACCAAUUAGCAAGAACUGUUCGCGGGUUUUGCCGGGUUCUCUUGCAAUAGCCAAUAAUCGAAUGCGCCAAAAAAAAGCACCAUCUGCAGUCCAGAAAGCAUGCAUAACU